GCAGAGUUGCCAGCCUGGUGCUUAGCCACUUCUGUGCAGCAUGGCUCACCCCGUAGCCAGGCCCUGGGAUUCACAGCUCCUCCCAGCUUCAGCAAGCCCAGCUCCUGAACUUACUUCCUCCUGCCCCUCCCCUCGCCCACACCAAGUGAGCAGCUGGUGACUUGGCCAGCCUGGUACCAGCUGUCCAUCCCUGGGGCCAAGUCCACAGAGCCGCUGUGUGCGUGAGAGACAGUGUGGCUCUGGGGGCGGUGGUCAGGCAGCUGCCGAAGACUAGGUAAAUUCUCCAUGGUUACUGCUGUUUGUAAUUUGAAGGACAUCCUCUACCCGCCUAAUGGCCACUUGGUUGCCAUUAUGGGUCUGCAUGCUGCAGCCAGGGGCCUUGUUGCAUAUCUAGGAGAUGACAUUCUGUGCUGGGCUCUGGGCUCUGGCUUUGUUCUGACUGCAGCACCUGGAUGGUGUCCUCAAGUGCUACGGUCCAUCCCUGGGGUCUUAAGCCCCUCUUUUUGGAGUGUAGAGCUGCUGCGCACUAGGGUGUGUGUGUGUGUGUGUGUGUGUGUGUGUGUGUGUGUGUUGGAUAGACAGUCAGGAGUUCUGUCUGUCUUGGAGGGGGUGAGGAGCCCAGAGGGGUUGAGGGCUUGUCCAAGGCACAGAGGCUAUCCUCCAGAGCCUCGCUUCCUGUGCAGCGCCCCUGUCACAUAGGGUUCUGUGCCUUUGUGCCUUUGUGGGUUUUCCUUGA
rnacentral:lncRNA from 1 species